rnacentral:rRNA from 1 species
GAUGAACGCUGGCGGCGUGCCUAAUACAUGCAAGUCGAGCGAACGGACGAGAAGCUUGCUUCUCUGAUGUUAGCGGCGGACGGGUGAGUAACACGUGGAUAACCUACCUAUAAGACUGGGAUAACUUCGGGAAACCGGAGCUAAUACCGGAUAAUAUUUUGAACCGCAUGGUUCAAAAGUAAAAGACGGUCUUGCUGUCACUUAUAGAUGGAUCCGCGCUGCAUUAGCUAGUUGGUAAGGUAACGGCUUACCAAGGCAACGAUGCAUAGCCGACCUGAGAGGGUGAUCGGCCACACUGGAACUGAGACACGGUCCAGACUCCUACGGGAGGCAGCAGUAGGGAAUCUUCCCGCAUGGGGCGAAGCCUGACGGAGCAACGCCGCGUGAGUGAUGAAGGUCUUUCGAUCGUNAAACCCUGNNUAUAGGGNAGAACAUAUGUGUAAGUAACUGUGCACAUCUUGACNGUACCCUAUCAGAAAGCCACGGCUAACUACGUGCCAGCAGCCGCGGGUAUACGUAGGUGGCAAGCGUUAUCCGGAAUUUAUGGGCGUAAAGCGCGCGUAGGGCGGUUUUUUAGUCUGAUGUGAAAGCCCACGGCUCAACCGUGGAGGGUCAUUGGAAACUGGAAAACUUGAGUGCAGAAGAGGAAAGUGGAAUUCCAUGUGUAGCGGUGAAAUGCGCAGAGAUAUGGAGGAACACCAGUGGCGAAGGCGACUUUCUGGUCUGUAACUGACGCUGAUGUGCGAAAGCGUGGGGAUCAAACAGGAUUAGAUACCCUGGUAGUCCACGCCGUAAACGAUGAGUGCUAAGUGUUAGGGGGUUUCCGCCCCUUAGUGCUGCAGCUAACGCAUUAAGCACUCCGCCUGGGGAGUACGACCGCAAGGUUGAAACUCAAAGGAAUUGACGGGGACCCGCACAAGCGGUGGAGCAUGUGGUUUAAUUCGAAGCAACGCGAAGAACCUUACCAAAUCUUGACAUCCUUUGACAACUCUAGAGAUAGAGCCUUCCCCUUCGGGGGACAAAGUGACAGGUGGUGCAUGGUUGUCGUCAGCUCGUGUCGUGAGAUGUUGGGUUAAGUCCCGCAACGAGCGCAACCCUUAAGCUUAGUUGCCAUCAUUAAGUUGGGCACUCUAAGUUGACUGCCGGUGACAAACCGGAGGAAGGUGGGGAUGACGUCAAAUCAUCAUGCCCCUUAUGAUUUGGGCUACACACGUGCUACAAUGGACAAUACAAAGGGCAGCGAAACCGCGAGGUCAAGCAAAUCCCAUAAAGUUGUUCUCAGUUCGGAUUGUAGUCUGCAACUCGACUACAUGAAGCUGGAAUCGCUAGUAAUCGUAGAUCAGCAUGCUACGGUGAAUACGUUCCCGGGUCU